UACGAAGGGGGGCUAGCGUUGUUCGGAAUCACUGGGCGUAAAGCGCACGUAGGCGGCUUUCUAAGUCAGGGGGUGAAAUCCUGGAGCUCAACUCCAGAACUGCCUUUGAUACUGGAGAGCUUGAGUCCGGAAGAGGUGAGUGGAACUCCGAGUGUAGAGGUGAAAUUCGUAGAUAUUCGGAAGAACACCAGUGGCGAAGGCGGCUCACUGGUCCGGUACUGACGCUGAUGUGCGAAAGCGUGGGGAGCAAACAGG
rnacentral:rRNA from 1 species